CCUGGUUGAUCCUGCCAGUAGUCAUAUGCUUGUCUCAAAGAUUAAGCCAUGCAUGUCUAAGUAUAAGCACUUGUACUGUGAAACUGCGAAUGGCUCAUUAAAUCAGUUAUCGUUUAUUUGAUUGUACCUUACUACAUGGAUACCUGUGGUAAUUCUAGAGCUAAUACAUGCGAAAGAUCCCGACUUCACGGAAGGGAUGUAUUUUAUUAGACUAAAAACCAAUGCGGGCCUCGGUCCGCUUGCUUGGUGAUUCAUGAUAACUUUUCGAAUCGCAUGGCCUUGCGCCGGCGAUGUUUCAUUCAAAUUUCUGCCCUAUCAACUGUCGAUGGUAAGGUAGUGGCUUACCAUGGUUGCAACGGGUGACGGAGAAUUAGGGUUCGAUUCCGGAGAGGGAGCCUGAGAAACGGCUACCACAUCUAAGGAAGGCAGCAGGCACGAAAAUUACCCAAUCCCGAUUCGGGGAGGUAGUGACAAGAAAUAACGGUACGGGGCCUUUAUAGGUCUCGCAAUCGGAAUGAGAACAAUUUAAAUCCUUUAACGAGGAUCAAUUGGAGGGCAAGUCUGGUGCCAGCAGCCGCGGUAAUUCCAGCUCCAAUAGCGUAUAUUAAAGUUGUUGCAGUUAAAAAGCUCGUAGUUGGAUUUCGGAGCGGGCCCGUCGGUCCACCGCAAGGUGAGCUACUGGCGGGUCUGUUCUUCUUCGCAAAGACUGCAGGUGCACUUCGCUGUGUGCUUGUCGGAUUUGUGACGUUUACUUUGAAAAAAUUAGAGUGUUCAAAGCAGGCUUUCGCUUGAAUACAUGAGCAUGGAAUAAUGGAAUAGGACUUUGGUUCUAUUUUGUUGGUUUCUAGGACCGAAGUAAUGAUUAAGAGGGACAAACGGGGGCAUCUGUAUUUCGUUGUCAGAGGUGAAAUUCUUGGAUUUGCGAAAGACAAACAACUGCGAAAGCACUUGCCAAGAGUGUUUUCAUUAAUCAAGAACGAAAGUUAGAGGAUCGAAGACGAUCAGAUACCGUCCUAGUUCUAACCAUAAACGAUGUCGACUAGGGAUCGGCGGGCGUUAUU
rnacentral:rRNA from 1 species